rnacentral:rRNA from 1 species
CCUACGGGGUGCAGCAGUGGGGAAUAUUGCACAAUGGAGGCAACUCUGAUGCAGCGACGCCGCGUGCGUGAAGAAGUAUUUCGGUAUGUAAAGCUCUAUCAGCAGGAACGAGACAAGACGGUACCUGACUAAGAAGCCCCGACUAACUACGUGCCAGCAGCCGCGGUAAUACGUAGGGGGCAAGCGUUAUCCGGAUUCACUGGGUGUAAAGGGAGCGUAGACGGCUGAGCAAGUCUGAGGUGAAAGGCAGGGGCCCAACCCCUGGACUGCUUUGGGAACUGUGCGGCUGGAGUUCAGGAGGGGUAGGUGGAAUUCCUGGUGUAGCGGUGAAAUGCAUAGAGAUUAGAAGGAACACCGGUGGCGAAGGCGGCUUACUGGACUGUAACUGACGUUGAGGCUCGAAAGCGUGGGGAGCAAACAGGAUUAGAUACCCUAGUAGUC